AUUGAACGCUGGCGGCAGGCCUAACACAUGCAAGUCGAACGGAUGGCGGACGGGUGAGUAGUGUCUGGGAAACUGCCUGAUGGAGGGGGCUAACUACGGGAAACGGUAGCUAAUACCGCAUACCAUCAGAUGUGCCCAGAUGGGAUUAGCUUGUUGGUGGGGUAACGGCUCACCAAGGCGACGCUCCCUAGCUGGUCUGAGAGGAUGACCCUGCACACUGGAACCGAGACACGGUCCAGACUCCUACGGGAGGCAGGAGUGGGGAAUAUUGCACAAUUGGCGGAAGCCUGAUGCAGCCAUGCCGCGUGUAUGAAGAAGGCCGUCGGGUUGUAAAGUACUUUCAGCGGGGAGGCGUUACUCGCAGAAGAAGCACCGGCUAACUCCGUGCCAGCAGCCGCGGUAAUUC
rnacentral:rRNA from 1 species